rnacentral:tRNA from 1 species
GGGGGUAUAGCUCAGGGGCAGGGAGCAUGCUUAGCAUGCACGAGGUCCUUGGUUCAAUCCCCAGUACCGCCA